rnacentral:rRNA from 1 species
CUGCAUGGAGCCGACCUUGAAAUACCACCCUUUAAUGUUUGAUGUUCUAACGUUGACCCGUGAUCCGGGUUGCGGACAGUGUCUGGUGGGUAGUUUGACUGGGGCGGUCUCCUCCUAAAGAGUAACGGAGGAGCACGAAGGUUGGCUAAUCCUGGUCGGACAUCAGGAGGUUAGUGCAAUGGCAUAAGCCAGCUUGACUGCGAGCGUGACGGCGCGAGCAGGUGCGAAAGCAGGUCAUAGUGAUCCGGUGGUUCUGAAUGGAAGGGCCAUCGCUCAACGGAUAAAAGGUACUCCGGGGAUAACAGGCUGAUACCGCCCAAGAGUUCAUAUCGACGGCGGUGUUUGGCACCUCGAUGUCGGCUCAUCACAUCCUGGGGCUGAAGUAGGUCCCAAGGGUAUGGCUGUUCGCCAUUUAAAGUGGUACGCGAGCUGGGUUUAGAACGUCGUGAGACAGUUCGGUCCCUAUCUGCCGUGGGCGCUGGAGAACUGAGGGGGGCUGCUCCUAGUACGAGAGGACCGGAGUGGACGCAUCACUGGUGUUCGGGUUGUCAUGCCAAUGGCACUGCCCGGUAGCUAAAUGCGGAAGAGAUAAGUGCUGAAAGCAUCUAAGCACGAAACUUGCCCCGAGAUGAGUUCUCCCUGACUCC